UACGUAGGGUCCAAGCGUUAUCCGGAAUCACUGGGCGUAAAGCGUGCGUAGGCGGAUGUUUAAGUGCAAUGCGAAAUCCUGUGGCUCAACCAUAUGGACUGUAUUGCAUACUGGAUAUCUGGAGGAAUGCAGAGGCAAGUGGAAUUCCCACGUGUAGCAGUGAAAUGCGUAGAGAUGUGGAGGAACACCGAUGGCGAAGGCAGCCCCCCUGGGCUGAGAUUGACGCUCAGGCACGAAAGCGUGGGGAGCAAACAGGAUUGAG
rnacentral:rRNA from 1 species